rnacentral:tRNA from 1 species
GUGCAUUUAGUGUUGUGGUAUCAUAGUACCCUCCCACGGUUCAGACCGGGGUUCAAUUCCCCGAAUAUGCA